UACGUAGGGGGCAAGCGUUGUCCGGAUUUAUUGGGCGUAAAGAGCGUGUAGGCGGCUUCACAGGUCCGCUGUGAAACUCGAGGCUCAACCUCGAGCUGUCGGUGGAAACCGUGUGGCUAGAGUCCGGAAGAGGAGAGUGGAAUUCCCGGUGUAGCGGUGGAAAUGCGCAGAUAUCGGGAAGAACACCCGUGGCGAAGGCGGCUCUCUGGGACGGUACUGACGCUGAGACGCGAAAGCGUGGGGAGCAACA
rnacentral:rRNA from 1 species